rnacentral:rRNA from 1 species
AACGUAGGUCACAAGCGUUGUCCGGAAUUACUGGGUGUAAAGGGAGCGCAGGCGGGUAUGCAAGUUGGGAGUGAAAUACAUGGGCUCAACCCAUGAACUGCUCUCAAAACUGUGUAUCUUGAGUAGUGCAGAGGUAGGCGGAAUUCCCGGUGUAGCGGUGGAAUGCGUAGAUAUCGGGAGGAACACCAGUGGCGAAGGCGGCCUACUGGGCACCAACUGACGCUGAGGCUCGAAAGUGUGGGUAGCAAACA